rnacentral:rRNA from 1 species
AAGCCCCUUCCAAGAUGAGAUCUCCCUAAGGCCUCGAGCCUUCUUAAGAGCCGUUCAAGACCAGGACGUUGAUAGGCUGGGUGUGUAAGCGCUGUGAGGCGUUGAGCUAACCAGUACUAAUUGCUCGUGCGGCUUGACUAU